UACGUAGGGUGCAAGCGUUAAUCGGAAUUAUUGGGCGUAAAGAGCUCGUAGGCGGUCUGUCGCGUCGGCUGUGAAAACCCGAGGCUCAACCUCGGGCCUGCAGUCGAUACGGGCAAACUAGAGUACUGCAGGGGAGACUGGAAUUCCUGGUGUAGCGGUGAAAUGCGCAGAUAUCAGGAGGAACACCGGUGGCGAAGGCGGGUCUCUGGGCAGUAACUGACGCUGAGGAGCGAAAGCGUGGGGAGCGAACAGG
rnacentral:rRNA from 1 species